UACGUAGGGUGCGAGCGUUGUCCGGAAUUAUUGGGCGUAAAGGGCUCGUAGGCGGCCAACUAAGUCAGACGUGAAAUCCCCAGGCUUAACCUGGGAACUGCGUCUGAUACUGGAUGGCUUGAAUUCGGGAGAGGGAUGCAGAAUUCCAGGUGUAGCGGUGAAAUGCGUAGAUAUCUGGAGGAAUACCGGUGGCGAAGGCGGCAUCCUGGACCGAGAUUGACGCUGAUGAGCGAAAGCUAGGGGAGCAAACGGG
rnacentral:rRNA from 1 species